rnacentral:rRNA from 1 species
UACGUAGGGUGCAAGCGUUGUCCGGAAUUAUUGGGCGUAAAGAGCUUGUAGGCGGUUUGUCGCGUCUGCUGUGAAAUUUCGGGGCUCAACCCCGAACUUGCAGUGGGUACGGGCAGACUAGAGUGUGGUAGGGGAGACUGGAAUUCCUGGUGUAGCGGUGAAAUGCGCAGAUAUCAGGAGGAACACCGGUGGCGAAGGCGGGUCUCUGGGCAGUAACUGACGCUGAGAAGCGAAAGCGUGGGGGGCGAACAGG